rnacentral:rRNA from 1 species
GACGAACGCUGGCGGCGUGCUUAACACAUGCAAGUCGAACGAUGAAGCCUAGCUUGCUAGGUGGAUUAGUGGCGAACGGGUGAGUAAUACGUGAGUAACCUACCUUUAACUCUGGGAUAAGCCUGGGAAACUGGGUCUAAUACCGGAUACGACCAAUCUCCGCAUGGGGUGUUGGUGGAAAGCGUUAUGUAGUGGUUAUAGAUGGGCUCACGGCCUAUCAGCUUGUUGGUGAGGUAACGGCUCACCAAGGCGACGACGGGUAGCCGGCCUGAGAGGGUGACCGGCCACACUGGGACUGAGACACGGCCCAGACUCCUACGGGAGGCAGCAGUGGGGAAUAUUGCACAAUGGGCGCAAGCCUGAUGCAGCGACGCCGCGUGAGGGAUGACGGCCUUCGGGUUGUAAACCUCUGUUAGCAGGGAAGAAGAGAGAUUGACGGUACCUGCAGAGAAAGCGCCGGCUAACUACGUGCCAGCAGCCGCGGUAAUACGUAGGGCGCGAGCGUUGUCCGGAAUUAUUGGGCGUAAAGAGCUUGUAGGCGGUUUGUCGCGUCUGCUGUGAAGGCCGGAGCUUAACUCCGUGUAUUGCAGUGGGUACGGGCAGACUAGAGUGCAGUAGGGGAGACUGGAAUUCCUGGUGUAGCGGUGGAAUGCGCAGAUAUCAGGAGGAACACCGAUGGCGAAGGCAGGUCUCUGGGCUGUAACUGACGCUGAGAAGCGAAAGCAUAGGGAGCGAACAGGAUUAGAUACCCUGGUAGUCCAUGCCGUAAACGUUGGGCACUAGGUGUGGGGAACAUUCCACGUUUUCCGCGCCGUAGCUAACGCAUUAAGUGCCCCGCCUGGGGAGUACGGCCGCAAGGCUAAAACUCAAAGAAAUUGACGGGGGCCCGCACAAGCGGCGGAGCAUGCGGAUUAAUUCGAUGCAACGCGAAGAACCUUACCAAGGCUUGACAUAUACUGGACCGCAUCAGAGAUGGUGUUUCCCUUCGGGGCUGGUAUACAGGUGGUGCAUGGUUGUCGUCAGCUCGUGUCGUGAGAUGUUGGGUUAAGUCCCGCAACGAGCGCAACCCUCGUUCUAUGUUGCCAGCACGUUAUGGUGGGGACUCAUAGGAGACUGCCGGGGUCAACUCGGAGGAAGGUGGGGAUGACGUCAAAUCAUCAUGCCCCUUAUGUCUUGGGCUUCACGCAUGCUACAAUGGCCGGUACAGAGGGUUGCGAUACUGUGAGGUGGAGCUAAUCCCUAAAAGCCGGUCUCAGUUCGGAUUGGGGUCUGCAACUCGACCCCAUGAAGUCGGAGUCGCUAGUAAUCGCAGAUCAGCAACGCUGCGGUGAAUACGUUCCCGGGCCU